UACGUAGGGGGCAAGCGUUGUCCGGAUUUAUUGGGCGUAAAGAGCGUGUAGGCGGCCAGGUAGGUCCGUUGUGAAAACUCGAGGCUCAACCUCGAGACGUCGAUGGAAACCAUCUGGCUAGAGUCCGGAAGAGGAGAGUGGAAUUCCUGGUGUAGCGGUGAAAUGCGCAGAUAUCAGGAAGAACACCAGUGGCGAAGGCGACUUACUGGACACAUAUUGACGCUGAGGUGCGAAAGCGUGGGGAGCAAACAGG
rnacentral:rRNA from 1 species